ensembl:lncRNA
GUUAGUUUCAGCCCAGUCAGUCAGUCAGUCAGUCAGUUUCAGCCCAGUCAGUCAGUCAGUUUCAGCCCAGUCAGUCAGUCAGUCAGUUUCAGCCCAGUCAGUCAGUCAGUCAGUUUCAGCCCAGUCAGUCAGUCAGUCAGUUUCAGCCCAGUCACCCAGUCAGUCAGUCAGCCAGUUUCUGCCCAGUCAGUCAGUCAGUUUCAGCCCAGUCAUCAGUCAGUCCGUUAGUUUCAGCCCAGUCAGUCAGUCAGUCAGUCAGUUUCAGCCCAGUCAGUCAGUCAGUCAGUUUCUGCCCAGUCAGUCAGUCAGUCCGUUUGUUUCUGCCCAGUCAGUCAGUCCGUUAGUUUCAGCCCAGUCAGUCAGUCAGCCAGUUUCAGCCCAGUCAGUCAGUCAGUCAGUUUCAGCCCAGUCAGUCAGUCAGUUUCAGCCCAGUCAGUCAGUCAGUUUCAGCCCAGUCAGUCAGUCAGUCAGUUUCAGCCCAGUCAGUCAGUCAGCCAGUUUCUGCCUAGUCAGUCAGUCAGUCAGUUUCAGCCCAGUCAGUCAGUCAGUCAGUUUCAGCCCAGUCAGUCAGUCAGUCAGUUUCAGCCCAGUCAGUCAGUCAGCCAGUUUCUGCCCAGUCAGUCAGUCAGUUUCAGCCCAGUCAUCAGUCAGUCAGUCAGUUUCAGCCCAGUCAGUCAGUCAGUUUCAGCCAGUCAGUUUCAGCCCAGUCAGUCAGUCAGUCAGUCAUUUUCAACCAGUCAGUCAGUCAAUCCGUUUCAGCCCAGUCAGUCAGUCAGUCCGUUAGUUUCUGCCCAGUCAGUCAGUCAGUCCGUUAGUUUCAGCCCACCCAGUCAGUCAGUCAGUUUCAGCCCAGUCAGUCAGUCAGUUUCAGCCCAGUCAGUCAGUCAGUUUCAGCCCAGUCAGUCAGUCAGUCAGUUUCAG